GCCGCGCGCCGGCAGUGACGUUUUUUUUGCUUGCCGGCGAGGGUCGCUAUUUCCUCCGCUUCGAAGAAGUCGUGCGAGUCUCUUUGCCAAGGUGUCCGGAGGCUCAGCUAUGGUGACAGGCGGUCAAAUAGGCCCUGCUGGCGGGACUUCCGGCGCGGUUACCCCUGAAGGUUUGCGCGGCUGGAUCCGAGGAGCUUAUCGCUUUGCCACAGACCGCAAUGACUUCCGCAGAAACCUCAUAGUUAAUCUGGGACUCUUUGCAGUAGGUGUCUGGGUAGCCAGAAACUUAACAGACAUUGAUUUGAUGGCACCACAACCUGUUGCAUAAUAGGCCCCAUGUUUAUUAUUCAAUGCAUGGAAUUUCCUUUCAGGAAUUCUAGGGCUCAAAUGCAGCAAACUGACAACUGGCUAUAUCCUUGGAAAAACUGAUUUUACAAAUCUGAACUUCCAUCCUCUAUAUGAAAAAAUAGCAAGAAUUGGAGAAAACAAAGACAAUAUUUUAGCUCUACAUCAUUCUUCACUAUGCUUAAUUUUUUUGGCAGCAUUGGGUUUUAUACUCAAAUAAUAAUAGAAAACAGUAUUCUAUUGUUGUUUUUGCUAAAAUGUUUUUGAUAUAUAUAUAUAUGUAUAUACAUUAUUUUGCGGAAUUGAACUGUUAGAUUCUGACCUGAAAUGUGAAAUAAAGACAUGCCAGUGCACUGAACUUUUUUCUUUUUUAAUAGGAAAUUUCAGCUUACAAAACAAGGUAAAAAGAGUAGAUUUACAAAAUCAUAAAAACAUGAUUCAUAUUUCACUUUUAAAGAAGUAACAAGCCCCAGUCCUGUGUUUAAGUAGGACUAUUAACUAUUGAACGGAAAAAAUACAUUUUAAAAAGGCCUAGGUGAGGGUUAAUUAUGGACAACUUUCAGCCGGUAUAACAGUUGUGUGGUGCUUUGAGUUGAUUUAAGUUAUACAUGAAAAAGAAUUCUGUUGCAUAGCAUUUUGAUUCCUUGAAUUGCUUUAUGUGCCUUUCAAGUUAACUGGAAACUAUUUAUGAAAGAUGCAUUUUUUUAAAGUUGAAAUGUUUUGCCUCUUUUGGAAGAUUGCCACUGCCUUUGCAAGACAUCAUUUAAUAUGUUAGCAAAAGCAGAAUGAUUUUUCAUCAGAAGUAUUUUUCAAAAUAUGGAUAAAAGACAGCUUAAUCCACAAGAUACACAAGCCAAUAAAUCUAUCAGUAGUCAUCAUAGACAAAAUUAGAGAACAAAAGGACAUAGAAUGUAAUCCUGUCAGAGCUGUAUUUAAUGGACAGAAAUGUUUCCAUCUUUGUGUCACUAAAGGUUCUUGCAUUAAAAAAUAUUUUAAAGCCACCUAAACAUAUCAGAUUAGAUGAAGUUGAAAAACAGAUUGACAGACUGCUGGAUAUUGACAGGUCUGUCCUCUUUUAUUCACUUCCAUUCUACAAAACCGUGUAGAAGAGGCAGUAUCAUAUACACCGCAAAUGUAGAAUAAGACCGCUUCAGUAAUUAAGAUAUAAGUAGUAAAAAGUGAAGCUGUAAAUUACUACUCAUAACUCUUCCCAAAGACAAAAAUGUAACAAUUUUUGCUACUCUUAAAGUUAGAAUAAUUUAGCAGUAAGAAAAAAGUAGAGAAUCCUUGCAUUUAGGAAAUACGUUUAAAAUCAACUUUUCAGUGUGAAAUAGGGUUUUUUUGGUGUCAAAAUAUAUCAAUUCUCAGAGAAGACCUAUUGAAUUUUGUAUACUGAAAACCCACAAUCUAAUCCAAGCAUUCAGUAUACUUUAGGUAAAAGCAAGUUCUAUACAAUUUCAAAAAACAAGUAGAAAUAAAGCGUACUUCUUAAUUUUAGUCUCAUACGGCUAAUAUACUAAAUUUUACAUUUUAUAGAAAUAAAUUCUCUCUGAGCUGAUUGGAAUGGAAAAAAAAUUAAGUUUGUUUACUGGCAGAAUACUUUCUGCUGGAAAUACUUUCUGCUGGAAUAAAAACAUCAACUCUAAACCCAAACUGCUUCAACUACCACUUCACUUACUAGAAGUUAAUUUUUAAGUCUCCCAAUUGUUAAUAAUGUAUUCUGCAGAACUGAUAAUGUAUAUGCAUUGGGAUUUCCUAAGUGGUGGUAAACAUUUUACUAAGAUCUCUAUUCAUCUUAUAUUUUGCUGGAUUCCUAAAUAAUAAAAUUGAUUUUCCUUAAAUGUAGAAUUAUAGCAGCACUAGGAACAAGUUUAUGUUUGUCUUUAGUUCCAAUCAUUUCAAUAUAUGUUGUAUUGGAUUUGUAAGGAAUUUUACAAGACACUACGUAUCAGGAGUAUUACAUAGCAUCCACAAUAGUAUAAUUUUACUAUUAAAUGUAUAGAUGUAAUAAAUUCUUUCGCCUUACUGCUAGGCUGAAUAUAUAGAAGAGGCCAUUUUAAUUUUACUAAGAAAUAGUGGCAAUUGAGAGGUGAAUUUUUAGAUUCAACUGAUAAUGCAUGAGUAUAUCCAAGCCUUUCUGUUCAAAUGAAACAUUUUAACACUUGGUAGUGUAUUUAACAUCUCCAUUUAUAAUUUCAUUUAAAGUAAAUUUGAAGAGCACAGUUCAGCCUGCAUCAGCAUUGUUGUAUGCUCUGCAUUACAGCAGUCUUGAGCCUAUUGAGAGAUGCUACAACUCAAAAUAGGCAUAUUACAGCUAUGCAAUAAUAACCAUGAAUAAUCUUAUUCAAAGUACUGUAUUCAAGAAUGCAUUUUCAGUUAUUAGAAAAUUAGAUGUCAGGUCUAAUUUCAUGAAAUAGUAUUCAGUAUAUGGUUGAUUUGUUAAUCAUUUUUAUACUGAAACAUAUAUAUGCCCGAUACAUAUUAUUGAAGUAUUAUCUGCAUGAAGAUAUGUUGAGUCAUUGUCAUCUUUAACAGAAGUAAGAGAAAGAACAUCAUGGCAAAAGAGAACCAUUAUCAUGCAAGGCACCAGUCAGUAGUUUAAGAGCCUUUUUCAAACUGCUUUGUCAAUAAGCUGCUCUAGGCAUUCUUACCAAUUGUAUUUUAAUUACGAAUUACUUGCUUAAAGAGGAAUAAUCCUAUCUAAAAAAAAUUAAAAAUAACCACAAAGAUUUAACACAAAACCCAAAAUGAUCUACUUUUGAGCAAACCAUUUGCAUCAUUAGAAAUACAGUAUUUAGACAUAUACAAUAAAAUACAUCAAGUUGC